rnacentral:misc_RNA from 1 species
AUAGAGGACAAUCAUUUUGGGACAAGGGAGUAAAUUUUUAAGCAUGUACAUGACUAAUCAAAAUUGAAUUGAUUAAAUUGAGAAAUGAGAACAUCACUCUAUUAUACUUGCCUCACUAGAGAAAUUCAUUUACAAAGCAACCCCACACAUGAGACAAUGCACCUCUAAUUCUAUGUAAUUAAAUAUAACUUGUCCAACUUACAUGGGCUCUUGAAUGCAUGUGAAAAAUUCAAAAACUCCUCACAAAAGCCAUGCCAAUUCAUGCAUAUUUUUUUUAUAAAAGUUAUGCAAAUUACUCAUCACAACAUAAAUAUUCAAUUUGAAAAGAAAAAUUAGAAACCACAUUAGAUCAAAAUGUAAUCAAGAAAAAGAAAACACGUAACAAUCCCAACCCAAUUUGUUCAAGGAAUUUGCAGAGAUAGAGAGAGUAUUUUGUGUUUCUGCAUUUUUUUUCCCUUUUCUGCAAUUUAGAGAGAGAUUGGGAGAGCACCAUUUGCAUAACUGAACUACACAAUCACAUUCAGUAUUUCUGCCAUAUUCAACAGUUACCGGGAUCAAAGCCACAUGGGUAAAGUUGACCCAUCAAGGGUGCCUGCCUGACCCAUUUUCACAUGUGUGUAUGUGUGUGUGUUAUUUUCAACGAAAAACAAAAUCAAAGCAAAGGAUUUCUUACUGUUCAGGACUUUGAGCAUA